UUAUACCACUUCUACAGAAUCUUUAUGGUGUAGUUAAUGGAAAUCUAGAAAGCAAUAAACGUUAUGAUUUUGAAGCUCUACCCCCUUUCUAGAGUUGCCAAGUGUGGCAUUAUUGAGCAACAUAUGUCCUUAGAUUUAAAAAAAAAACUGUAUCCUGACUUUCCCUGUCAAGUGUACAUCAAGAUUUUGUUCAAAAUAUUAGCGUGAAAGCACGUGAACUGCAUUUUGCGUCUGCAGACAUGAGGUGGGAGACGAAGUUGCCAAACUAUCCAGAAUAUAUAUCAGGAUCCUCUCGUAGAGAAUCGCCCGACAGGAAGAGGAUUCGACGUGAAAGAUCUGCUAUCCGAACUGCAGUGACACAGAGUGCUGAUGAUGACAAAAGUACAGAAGUGAGGGAGAAUUCCGUACAGCCAAUGAACUUGAGGGAAAAUGGCAGUUUUUAGACAGAAAAUAUUGGACUGUUGUUGAACAAGAGGAGUCACUCUUGAUCUGUCUCAUUGUCAGUUCUCCACACCCUAAAGUUGCAGUAUCUCCAGUCAUUAUACCAGAUUGUUUUCUUAAUGCUUUUCUAAAGGAUGUUGAAUUAAUGAGUUAGGCGACUAUUAGGUUCCUUUGAAGGUUAAUUGCACUAAUGACCUUGAACUGUUGCUCAGUACGCUACGAACGUGCAACAUUGAUGAUCAUAGACCUAACCAAUACAGUGCGGUAAUUUUGAUGAAACUGGUGAUUUCAUUACUGUCCAUAAUUCUUUUGAUGUUGUAAGUAAUCCAUAAUAAUUAAAACAAGACUUAUUUUUCAUAUUUUUGCAUAAUCUUCGUGUUCAACAACAAAUGAGACUAAACUGUGAUGUAAGUUUGAUUUACUGUAUAUAUUUUGAAUUUUGUAUAAUGCUGCUUUGAAUAAGAUACAUAUAUAUAGA